GUGUUUGACAUUAUCAUAAAGGAUCUAGAGAAGGAUCUAGGUAAACUGAAUGUUAAUGAAAUAUUCACUGAUGCCAAAUUAUGCUUUUACACUUCAAUAAGGACAAAGAAAUGGUGAGACCAUGAAAGAAGAGAAAGGCAUGAGGAAAGGUUAAAUAUGAGGUUUUGGAAAGAAAAGGAGAUUCUUCUUAAGUGUGAAUUUGGACUUCAAGAGAAAAAUAGACAGGACCAUCCAAGAUUGAACCAGGAGGGGUAUAUUUAACCCACCACAUGAAGAGGAGGAUUGAAGUCAUUAUCUACAGGACUUUUUGAAGAAAGAAAAUGAAACUGAGGCUGCUACUGACAGGACAGUCUUAGAAAACAGGACAAAGGUAUUUACCCACAAAAAUUUCCCAUGCCUGGAAACACCAAUCCUAUGUUCGCUCUGGAACUUGGCGUCUGGCGGCAGGCCGGGAGGAUCGACCAAGACUGAGCCCCCUCCUUCCCUUCCCCACAGCACCUGUAUAUAUGUUUGUAUGG